UACUGCCUGCGUUGCUCGUGUGGUGAAGAUUGUAUUCGCCGCAACUCAUAAUUCAGGGAUCUCAAUAUCAAUUUGUAUAAUAUCGGCUGUUUUUCAGAAGGUAGAGUGCAGAGUGAGGGAACCCACCUUGUAUAUCAAGGGUAGAAUUUCAAACUUCACACGUCCACGGCAUCUGCGGGUUUUUU
rnacentral:other from 1 species